CCGCGGCAAUCAAUGGAAAAAUGGCGGCUGCCGCUCUCGCGAGAAUUCGGCGCGGUGGGCGCGCAGCCGGGCGCCUGGCGCCUGAGGUGCGCGGGUGGCCGUCGGGAGCUGGGAAUCUUCUCACCUCUCUCUCUCUCUCUCUCUCUCGGCCCUAGGGUACGCAACGCUGGUUGAGGGCCAGUGCAAACACUUUUUAUAACCGGAGUCCGGGCCUUCCAUUCUCCGGCUCCCUCUGUUGGCAGAUGGAGGGACCAGGCCCCAGAGUCGUGGACAGGCUCCGGUUCAAAGUCCCCUUUCCGACCCGAGAGUCCGACACUUCCUCUUCCCAAACGCGGGGCCGGUCUGAGGGAGCCUCUGUCUGACAGCAGAGCUGAAAUGGGCUUCAACCUGUGCUGUUCUCUUAAACAUGCUUUUUUUUUGAGAAUUUUAAUGCCUUCUGACAGCUAAGUGGGAAUCAAAGUGUGGUGUUCAUGAUGGUGAGCUGGGAGAAAUGGGCAUUUAGUUCCUGGCAUCCACUGAGCACUGCAUAAGUCCUUGACACUGGUGGAAUUAUGCCCAAAUUGGUUCUCCAGCCUUAGUUUGGCAAUCUGACCUACUAAACUUAUCUUAGAACAGCCCACUUUUUCAACUUUAUCAGCACAAACUAGGCCAGCCUACUAUCAUCUCUGAUUAAGACUAAGUGGUUUCCUGUCUUCUAAUAACUAUCCAUACAGCAGUUUAAAUACAUUUUUAAAGAAAAAUAUUUGGGACUGUACAGAUGGCUCAGUCACUAGGAAUGCAUGCUAUUCGUGUAGAAAUCCCGAAUUUUGGAGCCCAGCACCCACACUGGGUGGCUCACAACCGCUUGGUAACUCCAUGUACAAAGCUCAAGUCCAAAUGGAUCAAAGACCUCAACAUAAAUCCAGCCACACUGAACCUCUUAGAAGAAAAAGUGGAAGGUAUCUUUGAACAAAUUGGUA